CUCAUAAAACAAUAUUUUUAGAACACUGUAUAAAUAAUUUUUACAGCGUAAAAGCAAAAUAGAUUCAUAUAUAUCGUAAUACAGUAAGCCUGAGUAUUUAAUUUAAUUUACAGUAACAAGUGGGCCAUCGAAUAACCGAAAGUAAGAAAAAUUGUGAACCUACAGUUUGGAGGAUGCAAAUCCAAUGGUGGUCCUCGAUGAAAUCAGCUAUCUAUAGAUUAUCCUGAGCCUGAAAUGGGUGGAAAGGAGGGUGGUGAGAUUAUAUAAUCCCAGUGAGUAAACAUAUACCAUCUAAAAUAUCUAAAGCCGAGUAAAUGGAGACAAAUAAAACAGUUUAACAUACUGUAAUUCAUCACCUUUCAACUUGUUUCAAUCAAAUAAAAUCAAUUCAUAUAAAUCGAGUAAUCAACAUGUCUUAUGAAUUUCUUAAAACUUUGGCUCGUUUCAAAAAUCAUUUUCAUACCCAGUUAUCAAGGAUGCCUUGAUCGAGGGCUAUCCCAACCGCGUCCGCCAAGGCUGUUAAAAAGUUAUGUACGCAUAAAUCAUGUUUUUAUUUUAAAAAUAUAGCUGUUCUUUGGCAUUAGCAAAGUUCAUCAUCACAAGGUGGUUUGGCGUGAAGUGAACUCUAAAGUUAUACCUCGGGAGUUACCCUACUCGCCUCUCCAAUCGAGGUAAAAUAUGACCAGGUUCGUGCCCCUCUAAUAGUCUAGUCCACAGAACCAGCCCACUGCAGCAAGCUAAACCCACCAUACAAUAAAAAACUGCAGCAAGCUAAACCCACCAUACAAUAAAAAUUCAACAGCAUGACAUGGCAAUUUUAUCAUUAUCCAGCCUAUCAAGGCAAACAACAGUUUAUACAUUUCAACACAAAUACCAAUUCAGCCAUUCAUGCCAAUAUUGUCAUAAGCCAAUCGAUUAGAACCAUAAAUUCACAAUACAUCAAAUGGUCUCCAAUUACUCUAUUUGCAAAGCCAUCAUUCAAUUUUAAAACAAUUUUAUGAAAUCAUUUUAUUUAAACCCAUUUUGUUUAUAAAACCUAAAAAUUUACCAUUUAAACUCAUUUUUCAUAAAAUCACAAAAUCGAAUAAAAACCACUCUAGAUAAUUAAGACGAUAGUAAGGUUACUCACUAUUUCGGGAGUCGAAUUCCAAGUACUCCGAUUCUUGAUCCUUGGGUACUAUCUCUUUACUUUUGCCAUAAUGCUCACCACCUAGACAUAAUGCACAAUAAGCCAUUUACUACAUUGUGCUAAAUUGUUAUAAAACCAAUUCAGGCUUUAUACUAAUGUAUGAAAUGAGAUGCAAAUUGUUCAGAUUACUGUCUAAACACGGUAUUCUACACAAAUUCAUUUGGGUCCUUAAUUAAAUCGGUAUUGGCCUAAUUCGAUCUAUCACUCGAUUAAUUGGUCAAUAUGUCUAAUUCAACUCCAAUUAACUCCAUUUUUCUCCCAAUACUCCAAAUCAUUAAACACAAUUUCAAUAACUUGAAAUGUGGCAAAAUCAUCCUCACAUUUUCUCUUGGAAAAUUCAGCCGUGGUGGGUGCAUCGACACCAUGAUUUUUCCUACUUGAUUCUCAUACCACAAAUCACUAAUUCCUAACCAAAUCACUUGAAAUAAAAUUAAAAUCAUCAUCAAUAUUCUACAUGGAGAAUUUGACCAAUGAUGGGUUAUGGGAGAAAAUGAAUUUUUCUUGUUUGAUUUUCAUGCUACACAUCACUAACUAACUAAAAACACUAGAAUAUCUUAAAAUCUAACAAAAACAACCACCAAAUCUUCUCUCUUUAAAUUCAGUUAGCCAUGAAUCCUUCAUGAUAACUUGUCAUUCAACCAUGAAAAAUGCAAAAUAAUGCAUGGAAAAGGUAGAUCCAAAGUCAAAAUCAAGAAAUUUUACCUUUGAUUGGUUGAUUACUUGAAAUCCACAAAAUUUUCUCUUGAAUUUUCACCCUAGGGUUCUUGUUCUUUCUUUUCUUCCUUUAUUCUUCUUUGGCCG
rnacentral:lncRNA from 1 species